rnacentral:tRNA from 1 species
GGGUUCAUGGCCUAAUGGUAAGGCGUCAGAUUUCGGUUCCAUCUUGGUUCUUCGCUCUCUGAAGAUUGCAGGUUCGAUCCCUGCUGAGCUCG